AGGAGUAGGGGAGGGUGGCCAAUUAGCUGCCCAAGUGGCAGCCGUCUCUUCUCAGGGAAUGCUGAGGAAAGAGCUGAGGCCUGGAUGUCUGUACCCACCUCCAACCUAGCUCUGGGGCAAACAUGCAGCAGGUGUCCUGUAGAUGUUUGUGGAUUGAUAAUGGGGAGCAGCACCAUAUUUGAGUGCCUACUGCAUACCUGGGCCAGGACGUGGCUUCCAUUACUUCCACCAACAAGCCAAAAGAGUAACAGUAUUAUUCCUAUUUUGCACAUGAUGAGGAAGUGGAGACUCAGAGAGGACCUAGCCCAAAACCAUACAGCUUGUCAGUGGUGGAACGGCAAUUAAAUCCACACCUAAGUCCAAAGCCUAUGCUACAACACAAACUGAAGGAGGCCUGCGGUCACUGAACCAAGAAACACAUCCUUACUAGCUUUCUCUAGCAUCUCACAGCAGGGUAUACACUAAAACACACACAGCAUCUAAUUGAUUGGGCAAUUGCUAUUACUCAGUUAUUUACUAUUAAGCCCUGUGCUAGCUAUUCCAUGUGCAGCACCCCAUUCGGUUCUCACAACAACCCCUAAGAAGGAGAUGUUUCUCAUUACCCCAUUUUACAGAUGUGGAAAACUGAGGGGCAGAUGGUUGAAGAUUAAGGAAUAUAGCUGCUGAACAGCUGCUAAGUAGCACAAACAAGACUUAAAGCCAGGUACCUCCUACGCUAAAGCCUGUGCAUUCAAGCACAGCGGAAGCCACACAGCUCACCUUGCUGACACCAGAACUCUCUAACUCCAAGCUGACUGGGAAGCUUCCCAUGGACAACCUGAGAAGCACCUGGCAUACAGUGAACAGGUGACACUCAGGGGCCACAAGAAUCCUGGCAGGGUGCCCCUACCUCUUCCCCACCCUCAUUCCUGCCUCUGCAGCCCUCUGAGAUCUGCACACUCCAGGAGGACCACAGCCUGCGGACACUGAGGCUCACCUGGGCUCUGAUCAUCCCCAGCCCCAGAGUCCAAGCAGGAUGUCACUGCUGUUUCCCCACCAGUGUUCUAAGUAACUUCAUAAUUCCUUCCGAAAAAGCCAGCUUGGUGCCACGGAGUAAAGGGCUUGAGCCCAGAGUCUUGCUUCUUU